rnacentral:misc_RNA from 1 species
AAGUCGUAACAAGGUCUCCGUAGGUGAACCUGCGGAGGGAUCAUUACACAAUAACAAUACGAAGGCCGUUCGCGGCUGGACUAUUUUAUUACCCUUGUCUUUUGCGCACUUGUUGUUUCCUGGGCGGGUUCGCUCGCCACCAGGACCACCAUAUAAACCUUUUUUAUGCAGUUGCAAUCAGCGUCAGUAUAACAAAUGUAAAUCAUUUACAACUUUCAACAACGGAUCUCUUGGUUCUG